rnacentral:rRNA from 1 species
GGAGUUUGGGCCGUGUCUCAGUCCCAAUGUGGCCGAUCACCCUCUCAGGUCGGCUACCGAUCGUCGACUUGGUGGGCCGUUACCUCACCAACUAUCUAAUCGGACGCGAACUCACCCUUCACCGGAUUGCUCCUUUGACCCCUGUACCAUGCGGCACUGUGGUCUCAUGCGGUAUUAGUACAACUUUCGCUGUGUUAUCCCCCUGUGAAGGACAGAUUGUUCACGCGUUACUCACCCGUCCGCCGCUAAAACAUACAUCUUCACUUCCAUCCGAAAACUUCAGUUCCGUCGCAUGUCUCCGCUCGACUUGCAUGUGUUAGGCACGCCGCCAGCGUCGUCCUCGAGCCACGAGUCAAACUACU